rnacentral:rRNA from 1 species
CCCUUAGAUGUCCUGGGCCGCACGCGUGCUACACUGACACUUGCAACGAGUACUUUGCUUUACCGAAAGGUAAUGCUAAUCAUCAAUAAGUGUCGUGAUGGGAAUAGAUCUUUGGAAUUAUGGAUCUUGAACGAGGAAUGCCUAGUAAGCGUAGGUCAUUAGCCUACGCUGAUUAAGUCCCUGCCCUUUGUACACACCGCCCGUCGCUCCUACCGAUUUCGAGUGGUCCGGUGAAACUUUUGGACCGUGCGACUUUAUUGUUGUCACGGAAAGUCAGUUAAACCAUACUACUUAGAGGAAGGAGAAGUCGUANCA